GAUGAACGCUGGCGGCGUGCCUAAUACAUGCAAGUCGAGCGAACAGACGAGGAGCUUGCUCCUCUGACGUUAGCGGCGGACGGGUGAGUAACACGUGGAUAACCUACCUACAAGACUGGGAUAACUUCGGGAAACCGGAGCUAAUACCGGAUAAUAUAUUGAACCGCAUGGUUCAAUAGUGAAAGACGGUUUUGCUGUCACUUAUAGAUGGAUCCGCGCCGCAUUAGCUAGUUGGUAAGGUAACGGCUUACCAAGGCAACGAUGCGUAGCCGACCUGAGAGGGUGAUCGGCCACACUGGAACUGAGACACGGUCCAGACUCCUACGGGAGGCAGCAGUAGGGAAUCUUCCGCAAUGGGCGAAAGCCUGACGGAGCAACGCCGCGUGAGUGAUGAAGGUCUUCGGGUCGUAAAACUCUGUUAUUAGGGAAGAACAAAUGUGUAAGUAACUAUGCACGUCUUGACGGUACCUAAUCAGAAAGCCACGGCUAACUACGUG
rnacentral:rRNA from 1 species